UACGUAGGGGGCAAGCGUUGUCCGGAUUUAUUGGGCGUAAAGAGCGUGUAGGCGGCCAAGCAGGUCAGCUGUGAAAACUCGAGGCUCAACCUCGAGACGUCGGUUGAAACCGUUUGGCUAGAGUCCGGAAGAGGAGAGUGGAAUUCCAGGUGUAGCGGUGAAAUGCGCAGAUAUUGGGAAGAACACCGGUGGCGAAGGCGGCGACCUGGUCCGAUACUGACGCUGAGGCGCGAAAGCGUGGGGAGCAAACAGG
rnacentral:rRNA from 1 species